rnacentral:snRNA from 1 species
UUUCUGGAUUGGGAUUUCUUUAC